rnacentral:tRNA from 1 species
GUGGGCGUAGCUCAGCGGUUAGAGCACCUGGCUGUGGCCCAGGGGGUCGCGGGUUCAAAUCCCGUCGCUCACCCCA